rnacentral:rRNA from 1 species
GACGAACGCUGGCGGCGUGCUUAACACAUGCAAGUCGAACGGAAAGGCCCUGCUUUUGUGGGGUGCUCGAGUGGCGAACGGGUGAGUAACACGUGAGUAACCUGCCCUUGACUUUGGGAUAACUUCAGGAAACUGGGGCUAAUACCGGAUAGGAGCUCCUGCUGCAUGGUGGGGGUUGGAAAGUUUCGGCGGUUGGGGAUGGACUCGCGGCUUAUCAGCUUGUUGGUGGGGUAGUGGCUUACCAAGGCUUUGACGGGUAGCCGGCCUGAGAGGGUGACCGGCAACAUUGGGACUGGGAUACGGCCCAGACUCCUACGGGAGGCAGCAGUGGGGAAUAUUGCACAAUGGGCGGAAGCCUGAUGCAGCAACGCCGCGGGCGGGAUGACGGCCUUCGGGUUGUAAACCGCUUUCGCCUGUGACGAAGCGUGAGUGACGGUAAUGGGUAAAGAAGCACCGGCUAACUACGUG